rnacentral:rRNA from 1 species
AACGCUAGCUACAGGCUUAACACAUGCAAGUCGAGGGGUAACGAGAGGAAAGCUUGCUUUCCUUGUCGACGACCGGCGCACGGGUGAGUAACGCGUAUCCAACCUGCCCCCAACUAGGGAAUAACCUUGCGAAAGUAAGACUAAUACCCUAUGAUUUCCUUUGAUGACAUCAGAUUAGGAAUAAAGAUUUAUCGGUUAUAGAUGGGGAUGCGUCUGAUUAGCUUGUUGGCGGGGUAACGGCCCACCAAGGCAACGAUCAGUAGGGGUUCUGAGAGGAAGGUCCCCCACAUUGGAACUGAGACACGGUCCAAACUCCUACGGGAGGCAGCAGUGAGGAAUAUUGGUCAAUGGGCGGAAGCCUGAACCAGCCAAGUAGCGUGCAGGAUGACGGCCCUAUGGGUUGUAAACUGCUUUUAUACAGGAAUAAAGUUAGCCACGUGUGGUUAUUUGUAGGUACUGUAUGAAUAAGGACCGGCUAAUUCCGUGCCAGCAGCCGCGGUAAUACGGAAGGUCCAGGCGUUAUCCGGAUUUAUUGGGUUUAAAGGGAGCGUAGGCCGUCUGCUAAGCGUGUUGUGAAAUGUAGAUGCUCAACAUCUGAAUUGCAGCGCGAACUGGCAGACUUGAGUGUGCGCAACGUAGGCGGAAUUCGUGGUGUAGCGGUGAAAUGCUUAGAUAUCACGAAGAACUCCGAUUG